AUUGAACGCUGGCGGCAUGCCUUAUACAUGCAAGUCGAACGGUAACAGGUCUUCGGAUGCUGCCGAGUGGCGAACGGGUGAGUAAUACAUCGGAACGUGCCCGAUCGUGGGGGAUAACGGAGCGAAAGCUUUGCUAAUACCGCAUACGAUCUACGGAUGAAAGCAGGGGACCGCAAGGCCUUGCGCGGACGGAGCGGCCGAUGGCAGAUUAGGUAGUUGGUGGGAUAAAAGCUUACCAAGCCGACGAUCUGUAGCUGGUCUGAGAGGACGACCAGCCACACUGGGACUGAGACACGGCCCAGACUCCUACGGGAGGCAGCAGUGGGGAAUUUUGGACAAUGGGCGAAAGCCUGAUCCAGCCAUGCCGCGUGCAGGAUGAAGGCCUUCGGGUUGUAAACUGCUUUUGUACGGAACGAAAAGACUCUUUCUAAUAAAGAGGGUCCAUGACGGUACCGUAAGAAUAAGCACCGGCUAACUACGUG
rnacentral:rRNA from 1 species